UUAUCAAUGUUCAAGAAAGCAGGAUAGGCGGCUGUUUCGGCGUCAUCUAAUUGUUAAACGCCUGCGUACCAUUUUGACUUUUUAAAAAUUGGUUUUAUUAGACGGUCUGAUAGAUUUGGCGGAAUAUGUGUACAUUAAACAGAUUAGACGGACAUUAAGAUAAGCGGAUUUAAAUAUAUCUUAAU
rnacentral:sRNA from 1 species